GACGAACGCUGGCGGCGUGCCUAACACAUGCAAGUCGAACGGGACCGGGGGCAACUUCGGUUCAGUGGCGGACGGGUGCGUAACACGUGAGGAACAUGACCUUCGGCGGGGGAUAGCCGGCCCAACGGCCGGGUAAUACCGCGUACGACCAUUUGGGGACAUCCUCGAGUGGUGAAAGCAGCAAUGCGCCGAUGGAGUGCCUCGCGGCCUAUCAGCUAGUUGGUGGGGUAACGGCCUACCAAGGCGACGACGGGUAGCUGGUCUGAGAGGAUGGCCAGCCACAUGGGGACUGGGACACGGCCCAGACUCCUACGGGAGGCAGCAGUGGGGAAUAUUGCGCAAUGGACGAAAGUCUGACGCAGCGACGCCGCGUGUGGGAUGACGGUCUUCGGAUUGUAAACCACUGUCGGGAGGGACGAAUACGCCGCAAGGCGGGUGACGGUACCUCCAAAGGAAGCACCGGCUAACUCCGUGCCAGCAGCCGCCGUAA
rnacentral:rRNA from 1 species